ensembl:lncRNA
UUCUUGCUCUCCAUCCACGUGUGGGCGUGCUUUCAGACACUGGCUCUCAAACUGGAUUUGGCAUCUUCUCCCUAAAGGUAAUAUUCCAUCUACAACACCAGACCUCGGCUGGGUCUGCUUAUCCAGCCUUUUCCCAAAGUUUUUACAGAAUAACUCUCCAAAGGAGGUAAUAUGUGUCUCCCAGUGAUUUCCUCUUCAUAGCUGGGGAUGAGUGAAGAUCCUGGUAAAGGAUUCUGCCAUUUAAAAAAGCAGGUCACCUCCUGAACUCAUCUAGUUGACCAGUUUUGUAAAUAAUAGAGUGGAUAAUGAAUAAUCAUUUAUCACCUUGGAAUCUCAAUUCCAGCAUGUUAUGGAGAAGCAUGUGUCUGUCCCAAAUUCUGCAUUUCCCUCCCCUCUGGACUAAUGGACUGUGUGCAUUAGUUCAUUCAGAAAUGUCUUUCUGGUUUCCCCAUUUAACCUACUUAUCUUAAACUAUCUUAUCCUAUUUGCUCUACAAUUUCUGAAAAUAUCCUACCCCAGGACAAGAUCAUUCUUGUGAAAUUUUUGUGUGUAUUGGUUUAUUUUUGGCAAAGUUAGGAGGUAGUUAAAAUGAGACUUAUAAUGGAAAGCUAGCUGCUAGCGACUCUCCAUAACACAUGUCUACCUUGCAGGAGAGUUGUGAGGAUUAAUUAAUUUGUGUUUGUUAAGCACUUUGAGAUCCUAAGAUUAAAGGUUCUAUAGAAAUGCAAAUUGUUAUUAUAAUGAUAAAUUCUUUAUAUGAGCUCAUAUAUUUUGCCUUAGAGGCACAGUCUCACCCUGAGUUGCGUAGUUAUACACGUAAAUCUGCAAACAUUAUGAUGAAAAUGUACCUCUGAAGGUCUGAUCCUUUCUACUGCUCUACCAGUUCAUGCAUAGAGCUGCCCUUGAUUUCAGGCAGGUCCCAUCAAUGGCACAAUUGUAGGAUUCAAUUUGUUUAGGAAAAGACCGUUGUAUGCCUCCAGGCUUCACACUGAGACACACAACUUUCUGUCUCACUCCAUAAAACCACUACUUGCUGUCAGCAGUUAUUCCAUCUUAUUAAUGAACUGACUGAACAGAUGACAAAAUCUGGAUCUGAAUUCUGACCCUUCCAAAACUCAGGUUUUCAGAGGUUUAUUUAACCUGUUAGAGAAUGAGAGGUAACAAUCCCCUAAUGGAUAUAGGAUUGAAUGUCAUUCCUGACACAAAAGAUGUGACUGUUUGUCCUUUUCCCCUUGUGAUUUGGCAAACAAAGGUUUUCAGGCACAAGUUGCCAAAGGACUACCCCUUGCAGGGAUCAAGGCCACAGCUGCACAAGCUUGGCAGACCCACGACCCUCUCCCAAAGAAAGCUCUCUGCUUUUCCUUCCCCCUUGCACAGGCUUGGAGCACCACGCUGCCCAUCCCCUGCCUGCAAGGGUGUUUGACCAUCCUGGUCAAUGUCCUUGUCUGAAGCACUGAUCCAACACAGGGGCUGUGCAACAGACAGGAAGCAGGGUCCUGGGAGAGGGACCUUUUCCAUCUUCCAUCCCAACAUGCCUCUGCGCCUUCCUUGCCACAUCUCUGGCACACAGAUGCCUCAACUCACACCAUUAGAGAACUGAGUCAAAAAAAUGUCAUGAGGGUUUUUUUUGCAUCACCCAUGGGCUUAUCUGAGUGCAGAAUACAGUGCCAGAAAUACCAGCUGUAUAAGAAGUCUACUGCCCAACCUCACACCCAAUGUAGAACUAUCAGCAGGCACCAGAGCGGGUCAGCCAUGGCUUUUUCUCACUUAAACUUGAAAACCUCCAAGAAUGGCCCCUCCACUUCUGUCUCACAGUUGCACUACUCUCCUGGAGAAGAAGUUUCUCCAAUAUCCAACCAGAACUGCCAGUGGCACAAUUUAUGGCCAUUGCUUUUCACUAUAAUGUCUGACAAUGCUUAGAAAUAAUAAUCUCUUAAACUGCUUUUCAUCAGAUUAAACUAAUCCCAAAUUAAACUCCAGUCAUAAUCUAAAAUGUGAAGUUUUCAAUAUGAGGUGUUUCUUCUUGGAUGUUUGCAGUGGGGAGCGUGUAGGUAAGAUUACAACUCAUUCAUUCCCUGAAUAUGAACUAAAAGUAAGGAACCUACUACCACUUCAAAGUCUUUUACUAUUUGUUGUGUAGUGUCAAAAGACUUAUGUUGAAAGUUUUUCCAGGAGUGGAAUGUAUGAUACAGAAAUGUAUUAUUCCCUUCCCCUGACAUGAAAACUUUCAGAAGUUCUCAGUUUGAGAAGCUGUCUGCUACAUGAUAUAUAGCUAGAAUUAUCAUGGAAGGGAAUGAAUACUUGCUAUGUUUAACAUAUGCAGAAUUUAUAACCUCCAAAAUUUUAUACUUUUCUUUUUUUCUUCCCCAGAUAUUCUGAGCCGUGUCACAGGUUUGAUGCACUAUUCAAUAUAUUCACUUCUACCAUUCCCUUCAUCAGUUCCCCCUAUCAAAGGUGAUAACUAAAGACUAACAUUAUCACAAAGCCCAAGAAACCAUGCUGACUUCUGAUGGGCUUCUUAAAUUUUCUACUGCCCUAAGAGAAAAAGAUGUCCUUUAUGUUAUUGACAGUCAUCUAUCUGAAGACAGCAAAAGUUGGAGGAAGGCUGUGGGGAAAACCAAGACACUGAGCUUUCCAGUUGUCCUUACUUUUACUGCAAAUCAUAAGUGUGUACUCAGAGCUCUCCACUGGGAUGCACAUUUUGCAGAAGACAAACCUUUGUGAGCAAAUGUCAAAAUGAACAACAUGCAUGCAUGAAGUCCAGCAGGGCUGGGCUCUGCUCAUUGAUACAUGCCAUGGGCCACCACAGCUCCCUGUCUAUUCACACCACACAGUGAAUUCUCCACCAGCAGCUGUCAGUUUGCUGGAGCAGUCUGUAAUCUCACUGUGUUUGCACAACACCUUAAGAUCUGAUCCACACGAGAGGAUUUAAAUCCGCAAGAUGUAAAUUUCUGCAAAUUGUGGCAUACUCAGGUGCUGCUGCUUCACCAGACAGCAUUCUCCUUUCUGAGUGGCCAUUGCACUGUGUGCAGGAGAAGACAGAUCCAAGGGUCAGGUCCAGCACCGACACCACUGGUGGCCAUUAUUUGAUUGUGAUACUCAAUGAGCCUACAAGCACUGAGUGCUUCCUCAUUCAAAACUGCUCAGACUUUCAGGCUGUUUCUAGACUAAAUCAAGGUCUUUACCAGGUGGGCUCAGAAGCUGGCUGUGAAUUAUGUGUGACAGCAAAGCCCCAUGGUCCCAGCAAUGACUUCACCAUGGCAGAAGACAGUCCUUUACAGGGGAGAGAGAUGCAGUGUAUGGGCUGAGCACACAGUGCCAUGCCAACAGGACUCACCAUCACCUCCCCACUUGUUGGCUGCACACACAGGAUCUGUCUGCCACUUCCAUGGCUCCCUUUCCAUUAAUUCCACAGAACAGGCUUACCUCUGCUUUUCAAGUUAACGUUCAACAGCUUGCAAGAGCUCUUUUCUU